GCCCGCUAAAGAAGGAAUACAAAUCGAAAAAAGUAAAAAAAUAAAAAGUUAUAAAAAAAGAGAAAGUUAAGUACGGUACGGAGUCAAGUGUCUACGUAUGGGGCGAUUCUCUUCCCUUCCUCCCUCCCUCCCUCCUGCUCCUCCUCCUUUGUAGAGCAUAUACCAUAAUUUUAAUACUGUAUAAUAGCAACCCUAAUACUUCCACAACAACACACCAUUGAAUCCAAUGGUUCAGCCUGGAAACAGUGAACUGACUACUAGCUGAAAUGGCUUUUUCAAAUGCCGCAUUUCUUUGGAGUUUAAGCAAGAAAAUGACUGUCCACCACUUUCUACUUACAAAACAAAAUAGCGCUUCAAUACAGUAUAAGCCCUGAAUACUCCAUUAAAGCAUUACAACAACAUGGUGACAUUUUUGGUUUCUUCAAAACAUAUUACUCUACAACUUUGUUUGCUGUCCAUCAACGCCUCUCCGCCUGUGCAAAGUUGCAUUAUUCUUCAUGACUGCUCACUCACUGUGGCCCCUCUGCAUAUUCCGACACUCAGCAGAAGCCCAGAAAAAGGCCAUGAGGGACAAAAUAACAACAGCCAUAUGCUAGCAGACUUUCACGUGUGAUCUUUAAAUAUCUUUGCGGCUCUAGCAGCUCGUUAAAUUUGUUUGAACUUGAAUUUCCUGCACAGUGAUCCUUGAAAAUAGACGUGCCACAAAUAAACUACUUUCAUCUCAUUCCGAGCAGCUGGAUGAAAUACUAAUCCACAAACUCUGGUGACAGCUACCCACCAGCAGCAGCAGCAGCACCGUUCAGUCUUCACCAUCUCCUCAAUAACAGGUGAAUCUGUCUGGACUGUCAUUGGUGUUUGAAAGAAUGGAGUGCUAAGGCUAAAGUCAGUAACAAGGCGUAACAGGAGAAGUGUAUUAGAACGCCGUUGGAUAAUAUAUGAAAGGUCAACAUAGAAACCAUCAGUCAGACUCUUUCUUUUAACAUCCCAACACAAGUGGGCAAAAUCUCCUGGGAUUCAAACCACAUUAUGAUGUGAUGGUGGCCUGUCACAAGUAGUGUGUUUAUUAUAGCAGUGCAGUAUUAUUAUUACCUUGAAUCUACAAAGGCUUCAAUAGGAAACAAAGGAUUUUGAUUGGUGUAUUUGUCUGCAUACUAUUUGGUUUGCAUGCAAACUGUAAAAAAAACCCUACUAAUUCCUGGUCCUGGCUAUAGUUAAAUGAAAAUGCCAUUCUGGAGUGGUUUGCACAGGCACAAAGGGAUUACUACAACACAACACAACCUGAAAGGGAACAUGUCUUUUCAUGUCUUUGAAGCCCUUUGUGAUAGCAUUGACGCAAACAGAAUGUAAAAGACAAGAACAAUUAACUCUACAAAAAUGAUUUUGAUAUUACAUACAUAGGUACAUUUUAACUAGUCAAAAGCUAUUGUUUUCCAUUAUAUUUUUAGUCUUGCCAAUCAUUCUGCUAAAACCUAUUUGAUUUACUUGUUCGUCUUCCUUUGAACUUCACAGGUGCAGACAGGAAUAUAGGAAAGCAUGAAAGGUUGAACGUGAAAGAAAUGUAGCUGACACACAGGACAGAAUAACCCUGACAAGGAUAGGACAUUAAAGCAUUCAACAUAGAAUGAGAACAUCCUUCCUUACAAGAAGAAUAAGAUAUUAGCAUGGUUCCGUACAAAAGAGACAACCUAUUCAGUGCAGUGAUUCCACCAAACAAAUCCAAUAUUAAUGGAUGAAAACAUACAGUGUUGAGAACCAACCACAUCUAAAGACAUUCUAGGAGGCUUUUAUCCAGUGGCACACAGUUACAAAGAAUAACGUUUAAAGAGGUGUGCACAUGUGGGCAUGAAUGACGGACAACACGGGUUUAUUGCACUACCUGUGCUUCAGGAAGUGCAACAGGAACAAAGAGCAGAGUCACAUGAGGCGGUGGUUGGCAGACUUGGCUUAAAGUGUGACACUUAAAACUAUUUAAUCCCACAAUACAUCUGUUACAGUAACAUUUAUAUGACACUAAGGUUCUAGUACUGGGUAGUAGGAUAAUUAUACUGUGUUGUAGUUCAACUUUUGACAUCAGCUGUGGUAUUUUAAUGACCGUGUUGCUUUCUCCAAGUAUUGAGCUCAUUCACAAAAUACAGCAGAGACAACAGACAGCUGCCUUACAAUGAUGGAAGUAUAAAAAUCAGUGCACACCACACACUGUACUGUACAUAAGAAAGAAAUCCAUUUUAUAGGAGACUUCAAGUGCAAAAGUAGUUUCUCAGUUGGAAAUCAUGUGAUGAUCAUAAUUUAAAAAUUAAUUAACAAGAAAAGUUACAGGAGGCUAAAUCUUCACAGAGAUAUGUGGCUGGUUCCUGGUUUUGCACCUUCACUUUUGUAACUUUAGUGUUUAGCAUUAUAUUUGGGAGGCAAUAUACUUAAUGACACCCCUAAAUCGUCAGGGUUUUUUUUUUCUUCAGUUUUCUAUAUAUCUCCAGAUCACAACAAAAGUCCUAUCAAAUAUGUAAGAAAAGAAAUAGUUCACCUAACAUGGCAUGUUGUUUCUGUGUACACAUGGUCACACGGACAUGUUGCCAUGGCCACAUGUGGGCAGUGUUUUAUGAACAUGGUUUAAUGUAGAAUUUAACUAAAUGGUGAGCUAUAAUAACUGCUGUCAUUGAAGAAAAAAAGAAAAAUACUGAUGUCCUUUGUGUAUGCGUCUGUAGCCUCAAAACUGUUUAGGCUGGAUUUCUUCAAUUGGUGGUCCAUCAAAAAUAAAUCAAUGAGGUUUCAGUUAAAAACAAAUUAUAAUAAUUUCACAUUGAAAUGUGAGUGGAUUUUAACCAACUUUUUAAACGAAACUCAUUGUUACCAAACAGCAUAACAAAAAGUAACAGUCAAAAUACUUUAAAUGACUUUUUAGUAGAUUUAAAGUGGUAAAAAAAAUCCUGUAUUUAAUUGUGUACUUUGUUUACAAACACUGUUUACAACAUUUAUAGUUGCUAUGGUAUACUGGCCAGCAAACCAUAGUGCAGAGCCCCACUCUUCUGUGCAACUGUACACUGCCAACAAUUUCACAAACUCUAAAUGUAAGAAACAAUUCAAAAUGAACUCGUGUUUACACUGUUACACUGUCUCUGUUCUUUACAAAAAAAAAUCACCCAGAUCAGUUGCAAAAGAAAUACAAAACAAGGAAAUAAGAGUGGCAGGCAAGGCAAAGGCAAAUAAACUGAUGAAUGAAUUAUUUAUGAGAUGUGUGAACAUGAUUAAAUUGAACUUUUAUAUUUUUAAGGCAGUCUCUCCUUUUUUCCAUCGAUUGCUUAUACACUAGGGAUUCAUACUGUGAUGUGCACCCUCCUGGUGUCUGUGUUCAAGCUAUUGAAAGAAAUGCAUGUUAUGGUUUCUUAUAUUGACUCUAUGGGGAUUUUCCCAUUUUAAUAUACAACACCUAGCCCUUCUGUUAACAACUACUGCCUCCGUUAGCCUCCUACCAACCUUCCCAAUGUUAGCAAAUGAAGCUGAUUAGCAGACAUCAUUCACAUUCUCUUAAUAUGAUACGUCACACACUGACUAUAUCUCGAAAUAAAUGCCUCUGUUGACACAGAUAAAUUUCGCUUUUGUGAACAAAAAAGUUGAGAAAUGUGCGAAUAAACUGCCCGUGUCUGGAGAGCGCAGUCAGAGGCCAUUACUGUAAACUGGAGCUAGCCUCCGUUAGCCAUGCGAAGCUAAGGCAGAUAUAGCCAAAACACAACAUACAUUUAA